UCUAUAGGCAAGAGAGCCAAAGCCCAGACGGGAGGAGACUGGCCUCCGGCCACACAACACAUCUGAGGACAAAAACCUCAACGCGCUUCACCGCCGAGCCCAGGGGCAGGGCGCCACCGCCAUGGUGAGCGAGUCCCCGGAGCCGGGCGCCGCGGCCGUGUGGCGGCGCAGGGACGAGGCGCUGAGCGUGAACGUGGGCGGCGUGCGGCGGCGGCUGAGCGCGCGCGCCCUGGCGCGCUUCCCGGGCACGCGGCUGGGCCGCCUGCAGGCCGCGGCGUCCGAGGAGCAGGCGCGGCGCCUGUGCGACGACUACGACGCGGCCGCCCGCGAGUUCUACUUCGACCGGCACCCGGGCUUCUUCCUGGGGCUGCUGCACUUCUACCGCACCGGCCGCCUGCACGUGCUGGACGAGCUGUGCGUGUUCGCCUUCGGCCAGGAGGCCGAGUACUGGGGCCUGGGCGAGAGCGCGCUGGCCGCGUGCUGCCGCGCGCGCUACCAGGAGCGGCGGGUGGCGCGGCCGCGCGCCUGGGACGAGGACAGCGACGCGCCGAGCAGCGUGGACCCGAACCCGGGCGAGAUCUCCGACGUGCAGCGCGAGCUGGCGCGCUACGGCGCGGCGCGCUGCGGCCGCCUGCGCCGCCGCCUCUGGCUCACCAUGGAGAACCCGGGCUACUCGCUGCCCAGCAAGCUCUUCAGCUGCGUGUCCAUCGGCGUGGUGCUCGCCUCCAUCGCCGCCAUGUGCAUCCACAGCCUGCCCGAGUACCAGGCCCGCGAGGCGGCCGCGGCCGUGGCGGCGGUGGCGGCGGGCCGCAGCCCGGAGGCUGUGCGCGACGACCCGGUGCUGCGGCGCCUGGAGUACUUCUGCAUCGCCUGGUUCAGCUUCGAGGUGUCCUCGCGCCUCCUGCUGGCGCCCAGCCCGCGCAACUUCUUCUGCCACCCGCUCAACCUCAUCGACAUCGUGUCCGUGCUGCCCUUCUACCUCACGCUGAUGGCCGGCGCGGCGCUCGGCGACCAGGGGGGCGCGGGCGGCGAGGAUCUGGGUGACCUGGGCAAGGUGGUGCAGGUGUUCCGCCUCAUGCGCAUCUUCCGCGUGCUCAAGCUGGCGCGCCACUCCACCGGCCUGCGCUCCCUGGGCGCCACCCUCAAGCACAGCUACCGCGAGGUGGGCAUCUUACUGCUGUACCUGGCCGUGGGCGUGUCGGUGUUCUCCGGAGUGGCCUACACAGCCGAGAAGGAGGAGGACGUGGGCUUCGACACCAUCCCCGCCUGCUGGUGGUGGGGCACGGUGAGCAUGACCACCGUGGGCUAUGGGGACGUGGUGCCCGUGACGGUGGCUGGCAAGCUGGCGGCCUCGGGCUGCAUCCUCGGGGGCAUCCUGGUGGUGGCGCUCCCCAUCACCAUCAUCUUCAAUAAGUUCUCCCACUUCUACCGGCGCCAGAAGGCGCUGGAAGCCGCGGUGCGCAACAGCGGCCACCAGGAGUUUGAAGACUUGCUGAGCAGCGUGGAUGGGGUGUCGGAGGGGUCCCUGGAGACAUCCCGAGAGACCUCCCAGGAGGGAAGGUCUGCAGACCUGGAGGCCCAGGCCCCUGGUGAGCCUCCAAACUCUAAGAUUUAUUAAAACCAGGGCUCAUGUUUCCCUCCCCACACUGCUACACUCAGCUACAACAGACCAGAGAUCCGUCCCCUGCUGAAGUUCUGCUCAGGGUCACUCAUCCUGGCCUGAGAAUUGACACCCAGAAGCUGGGCCCCUUCCUCCAAAGGCUCAGGGAAGGACAGUGUCACCCUAGAGCACAUGAUGUGAGCUCAAAGAGCGACCCAGAGACCUUUAUAAACAAACCAAAGCCAUCCGGGAAGCAGCAUGAGCCAGAGGGAGAAAGUCGAAAGGAUGCUAACCAUUCCUUGCCACCUGCUAUUAGCUAGAUCACAUAUGGCCCUACGUCGUUGGAGGGUGAGAAUUAGCCCCAUUUCACAGACGAGGAAACGAAGGCUCAGAGAGGCGCAAUGACUGGCUGGAAUGGCACGCAACUAGAAGUGGUAGGGUCAAGUUUAGAAUCCAUGCUUAUUGGUCUGCCAACGGUGUUUCUUCCACUCUGUCUUCCCUCACGAAGCUUGCAUAGGGUUUUAGUAGGUGUGUGGACCCCUAGGGUUGAUCUACUUAGCUCCGUCUGUCAGAGAGAGGGAAAGGAUGAGACGGGGGAUUCAGAUGUAGGAGCCCUGGACCUCACUUGUGGUUCUUUUCCAGGAGCGUCCGAAGGACUCGGCUCCCUAAGAUGAGGCCCGGGAGGAAGGGGAGCUACCUCCGUAGCUGCUGUGAGAUUUGUGAAGCAGUAGCUGUAGCUUCCUCCCGGGGCUGGCUUGAGGUACAGAGAAGGGGCCCUGUCCUGAGGCCUGAAGUCUAGCUCUAGUUCUACUGGGACCUGAUUUGUGAAGUGGGCAAGUCCCUGCCCAUCUCCAGGUUUCAGCCAUUCCGUGAGAUGGUCACAGUCAGCCUAGACCACAUGUGUCAAACACAAGGCCCGCGGGCCAAAUCCGUCCCGCCAGGCCUUGCAAU